rnacentral:rRNA from 1 species
CGAAGGGCGUAGCGUUGCUCGGAAUUACUGGGCGUAAAGGGAGCGUAGGCGGAUAGUUUAGUCAGAGGUGAAAGCCCAGGGCUCAACCUUGGAAUUGCCUUUGAUACUGGCUAUCUUGAGUAUGGAAGAGGUAUGUGGAACUCCGAGUGUAGAGGUGAAAUUCGUAGAUAUUCGGAAGAACACCAGUGGCGAAGGCGACAUACUGGUCCAUUACUGACGCUGAGGCUCGAAAGCGUGGGGAGCAAACAGGAUU